UACGGGGGGAGCAAGCGUUGGUCGGAUUUACUGGGCGUAAAGGGCGCGUAGGCGGUCAGCACAAGUCAGUUGUGAAAUCUCCGGGCUUAACUCGGAAAGGUCAACUGAUACUGUGCGACUAGAGUGCGGAAGGGGCAACUGGAAUUCUCGGUGUAGCGGUGAAAUGCGCAGAUAUCAGGAGGAACACCGGUGGCGAAGGCGGUUCUCUGGGCAUUACCUGACGCUGAGGAGCGAAAGUGUGGGGAGCGAACAGG
rnacentral:rRNA from 1 species